rnacentral:rRNA from 3 species
UCCACGCCGUAAACGAUGUCGACUUGGAGGUUGUGCCCUUGAGGCGUGGCUUCCGGAGCUAACGCGUUAAGUCGACCGCCUGGGGAGUACGGCCGCAAGGUUAAAACUCAAAUGAAUUGACGGGGGCCCGCACAAGCGGUGGAGCAUGUGGUUUAAUUCGAUGCAACGCGAAGAACCUUACCUGGUCUUGACAUCCACGGAAGUUUUCAGAGAUGAGAAUGUGCCUUCGGGAACCGUGAGACAGGUGCUGCAUGGCUGUCGUCAGCUCGUGUUGUGAAAUGUUGGGUUAAGUCCCGCAACGAGCGCAACCCUUAUCCUUUGUUGCCAGCGGUCCGGCCGGGAACUCAAAGGAGACUGCCAGUGAUAAACUGGAGGAAGGUGGGGAUGACGUCAAGUCAUCAUGGCCCUUACGACCAGGGCUACACACGUGCUACAAUGGCGCAUACAAAGAGAAGCGACCUCGCGAGAGCAAGCGGACCUCAUAAAGUGCGUCGUAGUCCGGAUUGGAGUCUGCAACUCGACUCCAUGAAGUCGGAAUCGCUAGUAAUCGUGGAUCAGAAUGCCACGGUGAAUACGUUCCCGGGCCUUGUACACACCGCCCGUCACACCAUGGGAGUGGGUUGCAAAAGAAGUAGGUAGCUUAACCUUCGGGAGGGCGCUUACCACUUUGUGAUUCAUGACUGGG